rnacentral:rRNA from 1 species
GGAUGAACGCUGGCGGCGUGGAUAAGGCAUGCAAGUCGAACGAUCCAUGUACUUGUAUAUGGAGAGUGGCAAACGGGGUAGUAACAGGUAGGAACAUACCCGAAAGUCGCGAAUAACUGCGAGAAAUCGUAGCUAAUACGCGAUAUCCCUACGGGGGAAAGAUUAUCGCUUUCGGAUUGGCCUGCUUCGUAUCAGCUUGUUGGUAAGGUAAUGGCUUACCAAGGCUAUGACGUGUAGGGGAGGUGAGAGCCUGACCCCCACCAUUGGAACUGCGACACGGUCCAAACUCCUACGGGAGGCUGCAGUCGAGAAUCUUCCGCAAUGCACGAAAGUGUGACGGAGCGACGCCGCGUGAUGGAUGAAGUAUUUCGGUAUGUAAACAUCUUUUAUAGGUGAGGAAGUAUAUUGACGUUAGCCUAUGAAUAAGGGGCUCCUAAUCUCGUGCCAGCAGGAGCGGUAAUACGAGAGCCCCGAGCGUUAUCCGGAAUUAUUGGGCGUAAAGGGUCCGUAGGUGGUCACAUUAGUCUCUUGUCAAAGACCCGUGCUCAACACGGGGGCGGCAAGAGAAACGGUGUGACUUGAGUCUGUGAGGGGUGUGCGGAACUCAUGGUGUAGGGGUGAAAUCCGUUGAUAUCAUGGGGAACACCAAAAGCGAAGGCAGCACACUGGCACAGCACUGACACUAAGGGACGAAACCCUGGGUAGCGAAUGGGAUUAGAUACCCCAGUAGUCCAGGGUCUAAACGAUCUCGAUUAGCUUUGUGGAGUAUCGACCCUCUGCGAGGCGUAGCUAACGCGUUAAAUCGAGCGCCUGGGAAGUACGAGCGCAAGCUUAAAACUCAAAGGAAUAGACGGGGACUUGCACAAGCGGUGGAUCAUGUGGUUUAAUUCGAUGCUAAACGAAGAACCUCACCAAGGCUAGACAUUAAGCCGUAUGGGUUUCUAGAAACAGAAACCCCUUCAGGCUUAACAGGUGUUGCAUGGCCGUCGUCAGUUCGUGGUUUGAAUUGUUCCCUUAAGUGGGGUAACGAACGAAACCCUCGUCGUGUGUUUUAUAUGUCACGCGAGACUGCCCCCUCAAUGAACAUGAAUGUG